UUCCUCUAUAAACACAGGUCUUGACUCUUGCUAAACACUCAAAAAUUCCCCAAACACUUUUCUCUCAAAAUUCUAACUUUAGCAUCGGAGGUUCUUCGGCCAAAGCCCCCCAUUCAUCGUGGGCACGUGAGGCUCAUGGCCUUGACCAAAUGUGUUAUUUGUUUUGUAGGUGCAAUUUUGUCUAAGAUCAAGGAGGAAGAAAUUUGCAUCCACAAAUUGGUGCUUUCAUUGAGAGUUGAGUCCCACACUCGUAGAAGACUCUUUCAUCCAAGGUUUUUCUAUUUUUUUUGUCCAUUUGUAGAUUUUUCGUAAGUUUUUAUUAUUAGAAUUUUUUAUUUGCAAAAAUUCUUUGAUAAAAUGUAAAAGAGAAGUACAAUGGCUAGAAAUUUAGAAAAUUCAACAAGUGAA
rnacentral:lncRNA from 1 species